rnacentral:rRNA from 1 species
ACCAUUGCCGCGGCCCUAAACAUGCAAGUCGAGCGGAAACGAGUUAUCUGAACCUUCGGGGAACGAUAACGGCGUCGAGCGGCGGACGGGUGAGUAAUGCCUAGGAAAUUGCCCUGAUGUGGGGGAUAACCAUUGGAAACGAUGGCUAAUACCGCAUGAUGCCUACGGGCCAAAGAGGGGGACCUUCGGGCCUCUCGCGUCAGGAUAUGCCUAGGUGGGAUUAGCUAGUUGGUGAGGUAAGGGCUCACCAAGGCGACGAUCCCUAGCUGGUCUGAGAGGAUGAUCAGCCACACUGGAACUGAGACACGGUCCAGACUCCUACGGGAGGCAGCAGUGGGGAAUAUUGCACAAUGGGCGCAAGCCUGAUGCAGCCAUGCCGCGUGUGUGAAGAAGGCCUUCGGGUUGUAAAGCACUUUCAGUCGUGAGGAAGGUGGUGUUGUUAAUAGCUGCAUUAUUUGACGUUAGCGACAGAAGAAGCACCGGCUAACUCCGUGCCAGCAGCCGCGGUAAUACGGAGGGUGCGAGCGUUAAUCGGAAUUACUGGGCGUAAAGCGCAUGCAGGUGGUUUGUUAAGUCAGAUGUGAAAGCCCGGGGCUCAACCUCGGAAUAGCAUUUGAAACUGGCAGACUAGAGUACUGUAGAGGGGGGUAGAAUUUCAGGUGUAGCGGUGAAAUGCGUAGAGAUCUGAAGGAAUACCGGUGGCGAAGGCGGCCCCCUGGACAGAUACUGACACUCAGAUGCGAAAGCGUGGGGAGCAAACAGGAUUAGAUACCCUGGUAGUCCACGCCGUAAACGAUGUCUACUUGGAGGUUGUGGCCUUGAGCCGUGGCUUUCGGAGCUAACGCGUUAAGUAGACCGCCUGGGGAGUACGGUCGCAAGAUUAAAACUCAAAUGAAUUGACGGGGGCCCGCACAAGCGGUGGAGCAUGUGGUUUAAUUCGAUGCAACGCGAAGAACCUUACCUACUCUUGACAUCCAGAGAACUUUCCAGAGAUGGAUUGGUGCCUUCGGGAACUCUGAGACAGGUGCUGCAUGGCUGUCGUCAGCUCGUGUUGUGAAAUGUUGGGUUAAGUCCCGCAACGAGCGCAACCCUUAUCCUUGUUUGCCAGCGAGUAAUGUCGGGAACUCCAGGGAGACUGCCGGUGAUAAACCGGAGGAAGGUGGGGACGACGUCAAGUCAUCAUGGCCCUUACGAGUAGGGCUACACACGUGCUACAAUGGCGCAUACAGAGGGCGGCCAACUUGCGAAAGUGAGCGAAUCCCAAAAAGUGCGUCGUAGUCCGGAUUGGAGUCUGCAACUCGACUCCAUGAAGUCGGAAUCGCUAGUAAUCGUGGAUCAGAAUGCCACGGUGAAUACGUUCCCGGGCCUUGUACACACCGCCCGUCACACCAUGGGAGUGGGCUGCAAAAGAAGUAGGUAGUUUAACCUUCGGGGGGACGCUUACCACUUUUGGGUACGAGGGGGG